rnacentral:rRNA from 1 species
AUUGAACGCUGGCGGCAGGCCUAACACAUGCAAGUCGAGCGGAUGAAGGGAGCUUGCUCCUGGAGUCAGCGGCGGACGGGUGAGUAAUGCCUAGGAAUCUGCCUGGUAGUGGGGGAUAACGUCCGGAAACGGGCGCUAAUAACGCAUACGUCCGGAGGGAGAAAGUGGGGGAUCUUCGGACCUCACGCUAUCAGAUGAGCCUAGGUCGGAUUAGCUAGUUGGUGGGGUAAAGGCCUACCAAGGCUACGAUCCGUAACUGGUCUGAGAGGAUGAUCAGGCACCCUGGAACUGAGACACGGUCCAGACUCCUACGGGAGGCCGCAGUGGGGAAUAUUGGACAAUGGGCGAAAGCCUGAUCCAGCCAUGCCGCGUGUGUGAAGAAGGUCUUCGGAUUGUAAAGCACUUUAAGUUGGGAGGACGGGCAGUAAGUUAAUCCCUUGCUGUGUUGACGUUACCAACAGAAUAAGCACCGGCUAACUUCGUG